UACGUAGGGUGCAAGCGUUAAUCGGAAUUACUGGGCGUAAAGCGUGCGCAGGCGGUUUUGUAAGCCAGAUGUGAAAUCCCCAGGCUUAACCUGGGAACUGCAUUCGAGACUGCAUUGCUAGAGUAUGGGAGAGGGAAGUGGAAUUUCCGGUGUAGCGGUGAAAUGCGUAGAUAUCGGGAGGAACAUCAGUGGCGAAGGCGGCCUUCUGGUCCAGUACUGACACUCAAGUGCGAAAGCGUGGGGAGCAAACAGG
rnacentral:rRNA from 1 species